GUGCUUGCUUUGGCAGCACUUGUACUAAAAUUGGAACGAUGCAGGAGAUUAGCAUGGCCCCUGGGCAAGGAUGACACACAAAUUUGUGAAGCAUUCCAUAUUUUU